rnacentral:lncRNA from 10 species
GUUUACCUAAGCAAGCCUGGGCAAUGGCGGGCGCCCCUCCCCCAGCCUGGCUGCCGCCUUGCAGUUUGAUCUCAGACUGCUGUGCCAGCAAUCAGCAAGACUCCAUGGGCGUCGUAGGACCCUCUGAGCCAGGAAGUUGCGCUGUACCUGAGAGCACCGAGAUAUAACAUAAGAAGCCAUCUUGGAAUUAAAGUUGUUGAAUGGAAAUGUGGCUUCAGCCUGGCUGUGUAUCACAUCCUUCUGGUUAGGGGCAUUGCUGCAGGAAUCUGUUUAUUCUCAAUUCAAGCCAAUAUGUACUGAUUGCUCUGACCUCCUCUCGUAAACAGGCAUUCUACUGGAACGUGUAAGAUAAUUUUUGCCAUCUGUCAUUUUCUUCUUCUUGAGAAAGGAGGAGAAUUACUGAGAAACAAGAAAAUGAAAGAAGAUCAAAUUUGCAGGUGAAUAAUCAUGACCCAAGUGGAACUGAGGAAAGUGUGCUGAAACCUGUUGGAGAACCCAUACAAAGAAGUUGGGAUGCAGAAAAGGAAGGCAGCCAGAAUCUGG